UUUACAGUAGUCUCUAUAUUUUAUUUCUUCUAAAGAACCCUCACAGUAAUUUCUAAACAGGUGAAUCAGUUGGUUGCCAUUUCCUAGGGCCUCCUCAGUGAGCACAUUACUCCGAUUUUCCUGGAAGUCACUCUACAGUCGUGAGGGUUCCAGCCUUCUGAUGAAGCCAACGCUGAGUGUGGCAGAGAGGAGGGACGGAAAGGGACAAGCUCCCUCAGGAUCUCAGCGAGCUGCUUGACCACGCUGCUGGACUCUUCCUGGAUGCAUAAUCAAAUAUAUAAGUAAAAAUUGACAUUUCCUUUGAGAACUACUUGGACAGUGACCUGAACAUCUCAAGAAAAACCUUGGUGGAAUUGCAUGAACCUGAUUUGGGUCAAAAUUAAGCACCACGCUGAAAAUCAUGCCUUUGUGAAAUGACAAAUUGAAAGUGUUCAGAAAUUGCAUUUGAACUAGUUGAGAUCCUGAUACAGAUUCUCUCCAUUGCUUUCUUGGCUUUAACACUUCAGUGAAGCAAUCUGCCUUGUUGAGAGGCCCACAUGGCAAGGAACUGAGGGCAGCCCCUGACCAACAGCCAGCCAGGAACUGAAGAUGUCAGUCCAACUACCCCUGAUGAACUGAAUCUUGAACCACGUGAGCUUGGAGUGCAUCCUUCCCAGUUGUGCCAUGAGAUGAGAGCACGGCACCAGUCAACAGUGUGACUGUUCUUUGAGAAAGACACCAAAGCAGAGGGGACAGCUAAGCCAUAUCCAGAUUUUUCACCCACAAAACUGAGAUAAUACAUGUGUGCUUUUUAAACUGUUAAAUUUUGGGACAAUUUGUUAUGCCACAAUAUAUAAUUAAUACACAAGGUUUUUGGCAACUGGAAGAAUAAAAAUAGUAUUUAUGAUAUCACAAGAUGAGUGUAGGUAGAGGGUUUCUUUACAGGGAGAUUUCAGGGUUUCUUUUUUUUUUUGGUGAUGGAGUCUCGCCCUGUUGCCCAGGCUGGAGUGAAUUGGCUCAAUCUCGGCUCACUGCAACCUCCACUUCCUGGGUUCAGGUGAUUCUCCCACCUUAGCCUCCUGAGUAGCUGAGAUUACAGGCACCUGCCAUCAUGCCUGGCUAAUUUUUAUAGAGACGGGGUUUCACCAUGUUGGCCAGGCUGGUCUCGAACUCCUGACCUCAGAUGAUCCACCCAGGCUGGAGUGAACUGGCGCAAUCUCGGCUCACUGCAACCUCCACUUCCUGGGUUCAGGUGAUUCUCCCACCUUAGCCUCCUGAGUAGCUGAGAUUACAGGCACCUGCCAUCAUGCCUGGCUAAUUUUUAUAGAGACGGGGUUUCACCAUGUUGGCCAGGCUGGUCUCGAACUCCUGACCUCAGAUGAUCCGCCUGCCUCGGCCUCCCAAAGUGUUGGGAUUACAGGCGUGAGCCUCUGCACCCAGCUGAUUGCAAGUUUUGGAUAUGUACAAUGCACAUAAGUAUCUAUUUUUGUGAUAAUACUUCUCACUAAUUUUUCAAAUGGUAGUUAGCUACCAAUAUAUAGAAUCUAAAUACUCUCCAUGAGCCACCUUAAAACAAAGUUAUUUAAGGCAUCUUCAAAAAUCAGAUUCUAGGCCGGGUAUGAUGGCUCACACCUGUAAUCCCAGCACUUUAAGAGGCCGAGGCAGGUGGAUGGCUUGAGCCCAGGAGUUCAAGACCAGCCUGAGCAACAUACAGAAACCCCGUCUCUAUUAAAAACACAAAAAUUAGCUGUGCGUGGUGGUGCUUGCCUGUAGUCCUAGCUACUUGGGAGGCUAAAGUGGGAGGAUCACUUGAGCCCAGGAAGUUGAGGCUGCAGCGAGCCGUGAUCACGCCGCCGCACUCCAGUGUGGGUGAUGGGAGUGAGACCCUGUCUAAAAAAAAAAAAAAAAUCAGAUGUUAUAAUAAUUUUAGUCAUAAUUAUUUCUGGAAAUGGAAAACAUCAAAUACAGUACCAACCCAUGAAUUCUGAUGUCUCACUUUUAGAAUUUCUCUAUUCUUUGCUUUCAAUUUGCACAAAAACC
rnacentral:lncRNA from 10 species